CAUCGGUGACAGGUGGUGCAUGGUUGUCGUCAGCUCGUGUCGUGAGAUGUUGGGUUAAGUCCCGCAACGAGCGCAACCCCUAUUGUUAGUUGCCAUCAUUCAGUUGGGCACUCUAGCGAGACUGCCGGUAAUAAACCGGAGGAAGGUGGGGAUGACGUCGAAUCAUCAUGCCCCUUAUGACCUGGGCUACACACGUGCUACAAUGGUUGGUACAACGAGUUGCGAGUCGGUGACGGCGAGCUAAUCUCUUAAAGCCAAUCUCAGUUCGGAUUGUAGGCUGCAACUCGCCUACAUGAAGUCGGAAUCGCUAGUAAUCGCGGAUCAGCACGCCGCGGUGAAUACGUUCCCGGGCCUU
rnacentral:rRNA from 1 species